UGAUGGCAGUGAUGAUUCUUGAUAUGAUGCAUUCCUGAUGUUCAUAGCAUGAGGGCUGCAUAGUCACUACCUCUUCUGAUGCCAUCU
rnacentral:snoRNA from 1 species